rnacentral:rRNA from 1 species
CCCACGGGGUGCAGCAGUGGGGAAUAUUGGGCAAUGGGCGCAAGCCUGACCCAGCAACGCCGCGUGAAGGAAGAAGGCUUUCGGGUUGUAAACUUCUUUUCUCAGGGACGAAGAAAGUGACGGUACCUGAGGAAUAAGCCACGGCUAACUACGUGCCAGCAGCCGCGGUAAUACGUAGGUGGCAAGCGUUAUCCGGAUUUACUGGGUGUAAAGGGCGUGUAGGCGGGAAAGCAAGUCAGAUGUGAAAACCAUGGGCUCAACCUGUGGCCUGCAUUUGAAACUGUUUUUCUUGAGUACUGGAGAGGCAGACGGAAUUCCUCGUGUAGCGGUGAAAUGCGUAGAUAUGAGGAGGAACACCAGUGGCGAAGGCGGUCUGCUGGACAGCAACUGACGCUGAGGCGCGAAAGCGUGGGGAGCAAACAGGAUUAGAUACCCGAGUAGUC